GGUAAAGAAACGAUGUGACUGUGAUCAUGGGAAAUCAACUGGUCGAAGUUCAUGAGAGAAGUAGUAAGGAAAAGAAUAAGAGUCAACACAGUAAAAAAUAUAUAUAUAUAUAUUCGACUUUACGAAGCCAUUUGGCCACAAAGAGAAAAGUGGAUAAAUACUGAAAGAUGUGAGCUUUUUAAGAUAUGGAAGCAAGCGUUUCGGACCUUUCGGUCAUGUUUCUUGGCUUGGGUAUGUGGUAUCAUUGACAAGGUUAGUAAUAGUAAAGUCAUUGUCUUUUGAUUGGUAAAGAGUAAAGAGCAGCAGUAGUUUGUGUAGGUAACUAAAACUCAAAACUUAUUUCUUCUUUCUCUUUUUAUAU